rnacentral:rRNA from 1 species
UAUCAACGCUGAGGUGUGAUGACGAGCCACUACGGUGGUGAAGUAGUUGAUGCCAAGCUUCCAGGAAAAGCCUCUAAGCAUCAGGUAACAUUAAAUCGUACCCCAAACCGACACAGGUGGUCAGGUAGAGAAUACUCAGGCGCUUGAGAGAACUCGGGUGAAGGAACUAGGCAAAAUGGUGCCGUAACUUCGGGAGAAGGCACGCUGGCAUUAGGUAAAGAGACUUGCUCUCGGCGCUGAAGCCAGUCGCAGAUACCAGCUGGCUGCAACUGUUUAAUAAAAACACAGCACUGUGCAAACACGAAAGUGGACGUAUACGGUGUGACGCCUGCCCGGUGCUGGAAGGUUAAUUGAUGGGGUCAGCCGCAAGGCGAAGCUCUUGAUCGAAGCCCCAGUAAACGGCGGCCGUAACUAUAACGGUCCUAAGGUAGCGAAAUUCCUUGUCGGGUAAGUUCCGACCUGCACGAAUGGCGUAAUGAUGGCCAGGCUGUCUCCACCCGAGACUCAGUGAAAUUGAACUCGCUGUGAAGAUGCAGUGUACCCGCGGCAAGACGGAAAGACCCCGUGAACCUUUACUAUAGCUUGACACUGAACAUUGAGCCUUGAUGUGUAGGAUAGGUGGGAGGCAUUGAAGUGUGGACGCCAGUCUGCAUGGAGCCAACCUUGAAAUACCACCCUUUAAUGUUUGAUGUUCUAACUCGGCCCCGUAAUCCGGGGUGAGGACAGUGUCUGGUGGGUAGUUUGACUGGGGCGGUCUCCUCCCAAAGAGUAACGGAGGAGCACGAAGGUUAGCUAAUCACGGUCGGACAUCGUGAGGUUAGUGCAAAGGCAUAAGCUAGCUUGACUGCGAGAGUGACGGCUCGAGCAGGUACGAAAGUAGGUCUUAGUGAUCCGGUGGUUCUGAAUGGAAGGGCCAUCGCUCAACGGAUAAAAGGUACUCCGGGGAUAACAGGCUGAUACCGCCCAAGAGUUCAUAUCGACGGCGGUGUUUGGCACCUCGAUGUCGGCUCAUCACAUCCUGGGGCUGAAGUAGGUCCCAAGGGUAUGGCUGUUCGCCAUUUAAAGUGGUACGCGAGCUGGGUUUAGAACGUCGUGAGACAGUUCGGUCCCUAUCUGCCGUGGGCGUUGGAAGAUUGAGAGGGGCUGCUCCUAGUACGAGAGGACCGGAGUGGACGAAUCACUGGUGUUCGGGUUGUCAUGCCAAUGGCAUUGCCCGGUAGCUAAAUUCGGAAGAGAUAACCGCUGAAAGCAUCUAAGCGGGAAACUUGCCUCGAGAUGAGUCUUCCCUGGGGCUUUAAGCCCCCUGAAGGAACGUUAAAGACUAUGACGUUGAUAGGCUGGGUGUGUAAGUGCAGCGAUGCAUUGAGCUAACCAGUACUAAUGAUCCGUGAGGCUUAACCUU